AUCAAAGGUCUAUUUGGUGGCCUUUCUAGAAUCCUCUUCUAGAAAGCUUCUCCGUUUUUGAUGUAACAAAACAGAAAUAUCUAAGAUGUGUUAUAAGGAGAGAUUUUAGUUGCAAGCCGCAGUCUUUGCUGGGACAAUUACUGAGCGUUAAGUUCCCUAUAGAGAACAACACCGUUACAAGCAUUUACGUCUCCAAAGCCAUGCGCAUCUUCACAACCGCCAGUACACUCGUACUGUUCCUGAUCGUGCUUUCUCGGGAUGUUUCCUCGCGAUCGCUGAUGGCGAUGGCACUCCCAGCUGGCCUCUCCUCGGCAGGGUCUUCCGCGGGCGGUGCCGGUGCACUGCUUGAAGAAAGGUCUCUCAUCGAAACGAACCCAGCCACGGAGCGGUCCUUACAAGACGAACACACGCCCCUGGUGGCUUAUCCACCUUUCGAGUGAAGAUGUUUGUUGGACGCACCUAACGUUCGAAAAUAUUUACUGCGAAAUGCUUGGGAGGCUCAUGACCCGUAAAUAAAUAGAAAUGCCUGUAUUUGUGCACCUG